rnacentral:sRNA from 1 species
UUUUUUUUUAGUUUUUAUCCUUUGUCUUAACAUUUACUUUUUUUUU